rnacentral:rRNA from 1 species
CUGGCUCAGAUUGACGCUGGCGGCAGGCCUAACACAUGCAAGUCGAGCGGCAGCACGGGUACUUGUACCUGGUGGCGAGCGGCGGACGGGUGAGUAAUGCCUAGGAAUCUGCCUAGUAGUGGGGGAUAACGUCCGGAAACGGGCGCUAAUACCGCAUACGUCCUACGGGAGAAAGUGGGGGAUCUUCGGACCUCACGCUAUUAGAUGAGCCUAGGUCGGAUUAGCUAGUUGGUGAGGUAAUGGCUCACCAAGGCGACGAUCCGUAACUGGUCUGAGAGGAUGAUCAGUCACACUGGAACUGAGACACGGUCCAGACUCCUACGGGAGGCAGCAGUGGGGAAUAUUGGACAAUGGGCGAAAGCCUGAUCCAGCCAUGCCGCGUGUGUGAAGAAGGUCUUCGGAUUGUAAAGCACUUUAAGUUGGGAGGAAGGGCAGUUACCUAAUACGUGAUUGUUUUGACGUUACCGACAGAAUAAGCACCGGCUAACUCUGUGCCAGCCGCCGCGGUAAUUCGUCGUGACUGGGAAAACCCUGGCGA